rnacentral:rRNA from 1 species
AUUGAACGCUGGCGGCAGGCCUAACACAUGCAAGUCGAGCGGAUGAAGGGAGCUUGCUCCUGGAUUCAGCGGCGGACGGGUGAGUAAUGCCUAGGAAUCUGCCUGGUAGUGGGGGAUAACGUCCGGAAACGGGCGCUAAUACCGCAUACGUCCUGAGGGAGAAAGUGGGGGAUCUUCGGACCUCACGCUAUCAGAUGAGCCUAGGUCGGAUUAGCUAGUUGGUGGGGUAAAGGCCUACCAAGGCGACGAUCCGUAACUGGUCUGAGAGGAUGAUCAGUCACACGGGAGCUGGAACACGGUCCAGAGUCCUACGGGAGGCAGCAGUGGGGAAUGUUGGGCAAUGGGCGAAAGCCUGAUCCAGCCAUGCCGCGUGUGUGAAGAAGGUCUUCGGAUUGUAAAGCACUUUAAGUUGGGAGGAAGGGCAGUAAGUUAAUACCUUGCUGUUUUGACGUUACCAACAGAAUAAGCACCGGCUAACUUCGUG